rnacentral:rRNA from 1 species
GUGCCAGCAGCCGCGGUAAUACGGAGGUGGCAAGCGUUGUUCGGAAUUACUGGGCGUAAAGGGCGCGUAGGCGGCAUGGCAAGUCAGAUGUGAAAGCCCCGGGCUUAACUUGGGAACUGCAUCUGAAACUGCUUUGCUUGAGUCCUGGAGGGGGUAGUGGAAUUCCCAGUGUAGCGGUGAAAUGCGUAGAUAUUGGGAGGAACACCUGCGGCGAAGGCGGCUACCUGGACAGUGACUGACGCUGAGGCGCGAAAGCUAGGGUAGCAAACGGGAUUAGAAACCCCCGUAGUCC